AUUUUGGACAAUGGGGGAAACCCUGAUCCAGCCAUGCCGCGUGAGUGAAGAAGGCCUUCUGGUUGUAAAGCUCUUUUUGAGGGAAAGAAAUCGCUUCGGGCAAUACCCGGAGUGUAUGACGGUACCCUAAGAAGAAGCACCGGCUAAAUAUGUGUCAGCAGCCGCGGUAAUACGUAGGGUGCGAGCGUUAAUCUGAAUUAUUGGGGGUAAAGCGUGCGCAGGCGGUUUUGUAAGACAGGUGUGAAAUCCCCGGGCUUAACCUUGGAAAUGCGCUUUUGUAUGGCAGGGUCGAGUUCGGUUGAGGGGGGGGGAAUUUCACGUGUAGCAGUGAAAUGGGUAGAGAUGUGGAGGAACACCGAUGGCGAAGGCAGCCCCCUGGGCCUGUACUGACGCUCAUGCACGAAAGAGUGGGGAGCAAACAGGAUUAGAUACCCCGGUCGUCCACGCCCUAAACGAUACGAAUACUUGUUAGUAGACGUAACUGCUGAGUAACGCAGCUAACGC
rnacentral:rRNA from 1 species